AACCAUAGAAACCUGCGGAGUACCUGCGGAGGGAUCAUUACAGAGUUGCAAAACUCCCUAAACCAUUGUGAACGUUACCUAAACCGUUGCUUCGGCGGGCGGCCCGGGUCCUUCCCGGCGCCCCUCGGCCCUCGCGGGCGCCCGCCGGAGGUAAACCAAACUAUUGCAUUGUAUGGCCUUUCUGAGUCUUCUGUACUGAAUAAGUCAAAACUUUCAACAACGGAUCUCAGAUCGGAAGAG
rnacentral:misc_RNA from 1 species